rnacentral:rRNA from 1 species
AUCAAUAAGCGGAGGAACAGAAACUAACCAGGAUUCCCCCAGUAACGGCGAGCGAAGUGGGAAACGUUCGAGCCUUUAAUCCUUGGCACUGUUGCCAGCGAAUUGUGGCCGGUAGAGGUGGCUUGGUCCUGUCCCCCGGCGUCGAAGUUGACCUGGAAGGGCACGUCGGAGAGGGUGAGAACCCCGUUGUCGACCUCGCGGGUAAGGGCAGACGCCGCCUUCAGAGAGUCGGGUUGUUUGGGAAUGCAGCCCAAAGUGGGUGGUAAACUCCAUCUAAAACUAAGUACUGGCACGAGACCGAUAGCGAACAAGUACCAUGAGGGAAAGGUGAAAAGUACUUUGAAAAGAGAGUCAAAGAGACCGCGAAACCGUUAGGAGGGAAGCGAAUGCAGCUUGACGACUCCGUUCGGGUUCAGGGAGGUUUCGGGCUUCCGGAGUGUGCGCGUCGACUUGUGAGAGAGGCUCGCACGCCCUCGGUGCCAAUCCUUCUGCAUUCCCGUCUUGGAGUCGACCAACGAAGGCGGCUGGUGUCCAGACCAAAGGCCGGAGGGUAGGUGCCUCAAGCGGCCCACGGGUCGUCGGAGAACUUACCAGCCUCAGGCCUGUUUCGGGUGGCAGUCGCCGAGGGGAAGUGCGACCUUCGCACAUGGCAGUGCAGGCUCCGCUGGGGCCGGGUCGCUUCUGCCCGUGCGGGUGGUGCAGCGAGGGACUGCUUGCAGUGUCCGCUGACGCCGUCCCCGUUCGGGCGGGAGGCGGGCCACGACGUGCAC